rnacentral:rRNA from 1 species
GAUGAACGCUGGCGGCGUGCUUAACACAUGCAAGUCGAACGAAGCACUUUAUUUGAUUUCCUUCGGGACUGAUUAUUUUGUGACUGAGUGGCGGACGGGUGAGUAACGCGUGGGUAACCUGCCUUGUACAGGGGGAUAACAGUUGGAAACGGCUGCUAAUACCGCAUAAGCGCACAGCAUCGCAUGAUGCAGUGUGAAAAACUCCGGUGGUAUAAGAUAGACCCGCGUUGGAUUAGCUAGUUGGUGAGGUAACGGCCCACCAAGGCGACGAUCCAUAGCCGACCUGAUAGGGUGACCGGCCACAUUGGGACUGAGACACGGCCCAAACUCCUACGGGAGGCAGCAGUGGGGAAUAUUGCACAAUGGGCGAAAGCCUGAUGCAGCGACGCCGCGUGAGCGAAGAAGUAUUUCGGUAUGUAAAGCUCUAUCAGCAGGGAAGAUAAUGACGUUACCUGACUAAGAAGCACCGGCUAAAUACGUG